AACCCAUGUUGAGGACAUUUCUGCAAGAGAUCCUUGAACAUUUCCCAUGUCUCGAAAAGAGACUCCAAUUCCAUUUGUACAAAGGAAGAUAUCUCAUUCUUGAGCUU